UGGUAAAGAGGAAAGGAAGCCACUACAACACCGAUAAGUAGGAACGCACUAAAUAUGACAUUAGACAAUGCCAUGAUAGAGUAAUUUAGCCAAGACCGUGGAUGUAUCUAGAAUACAGUCCAAUUAGAUGAUUAAGGUGUGGUAACUAUAUUUUGUUUAUCUUUUGUUUGUGUUUUUGUUCAUUUUUACUUUCAUUUUCUUUGACUUAGGAAGUGAUAGUGCCACAAACAAGUUCCCCAUAAAACCACAAGUUAGUGCCAAACGCCGCUCAUUUGAGGAAGAAAUAUAAUGAUGUAUUUCGUGAGUUUACGUGCGUUGUUAACAUCUGCCUAAGUUACUGCCCAGAUCUACCAGCCUGGACGACCCGACAACGGGUCCGGAACGGCGAUUGCCAACCCGGACAUCCCCUGCCCAUUCUUGUGGUGGUAUGCAGCUUGCAGAAACCCUACCAGGGUAAACCACCAGAGGGGGACCGCAACGAUGAUCCACAACCAGGACAUCCCGUGGUGGUUUUUAUGCCUAUAGGCCUAGUCAUGGAAUUGAAGGCCUACCUCCAAGAACCUACACCAGUCCCAAGGCGGACGAAAAGGAGAUAGCCACAGGUCAACAACAAGAAAGAUUGGAAGAGGAAAAUGGCUUAUAAGCCAUGGCUACAAGACAGCUCGGCCGAGAGCGACGUCGAUCGCCGCGUGACCCAAGACCGCCAGCAUCCGUCCAUUCAGGAAGACAACGCAGGUGGGACAACACAGAUGGACAAAGCAUGGACAUCAUAAAUCAAGUCGGAGGACAAGGAGGGGGGAGAAAAGGCAAAAUCUAUCCAAAUGCAAAAAUUACUGAAGAUGAGUCUCUGCUCUCACUACUCUGCUAUGCUCUAAGACACAUAACCACCAAGAUAGCUCUCAGUGAUUUAUUGGACAUUAUACAUCUCCAUUGUCCAGAGGGGACAAACGGCGUUCCUAACAGUCACUUUUGAAAUGCAGUAUAUUUGUCGAACAUGCCAGUAUUUCAGAUCAUUGCACAUCAUGUGGUUGCCUCCCUGGGGAUAUGCCAUCUCUUGUCAAGAGUGGAUCAGUGUUCAUGAAAUUGUCAGUCAAAAAACAACUAGAGGAAAAGUUAUCAGACCCCAAAUUCUGCGAAGCAUUAGAAUAUAACUAUUCUAGGUCCAAGAGCAGUUCAGAUAGUAUAGAUGACAUCUAUGAUGGUGCACUAUACAAGUCAAUAGAUACCCUUAAUGACACUGAUUUAAUAAACCUUUCACUCUCAUGGAAUGUGGAUGGCAUUCCAAUAUUCAUGUCCUCCCACAUCUGGCCCCUACAAGUCACAGUUAAUGAACUUCCCCCAAAUCUAAGAGCGAAGCACAUCAUUCUUGUGGGGCUGUGGGCCAAAGAGUCCAGAAAUGAAUUAUUUCCUUCAGCCCUUUGUGGAUGAGUGUGUUUCACAUGAGGGUGAGGGCUUAACAUGUCAGUUGAGAGGGACACCCACAAAUGUAUGUGUGUACAGUUUGUAUUUGUGAUUCCCUUGCUCGCUGCAAAGUACAAUUCAAUGGUGAACAUGAGUGCAACUGGUGCUAUCACAAAGGAGAAGUGGUAGAAAAGGGUAAUGGGUUCACUAGUGUAUCCGCUUGUGAGUGAGCCAGAGCCACGCACAGACACUAAACACCGCAGAGAUGUUGCCUUGGUGGUAGAGUCAGGGAACAUCAUACAUGGUGUUAAGGGCCCAUCGCCUUUAAUGUUCCUGAACUGUUUUCAACAUGAUUGCAGGGUUUGCUUUUGAUUACAUGCACAUUAUCUUACUUGGCAUAUGUCGGCAAAUUACUACACUGUGGUUUGAGUCCAAAUAUCACCCUGAGUCCUGGUACAUUGGAAGAGAAAUAGAGCGCAUAAACAAAAGAUUGCUUGCCAUAAAACCACCUGUAAAUGUGACAAGACCACUACGCUCAAUUCAUUUACUCAAAUAUUGGAAAGCCACAGAGUUCCAACACUUCCUGCUGUUCUAUAUCCUCCCCUGUAUAAAAUGGGAUUUUACCCAGGCAGUACUUACACCAUUUACUGCUACUGGUGCAGGGUACCUACUGAAAGACACGGUUACAUUGAUAUGGCUGAGAUGUUCUUACGAGAAUGUGUUAUUAGGUUUGAACAAUUGUAUCGGAAAUGUCAUGUCAGCUACAAUGUUCACAUUCUUUUGCAUGCACCUACAUCUGUCCGAAACUGGGGACCUUUGUGGGCUCAAAGUGCAUUCAUCUUUGAAAGUAGUAAUGGGAAACUUGGUAAACUCUUCCAUGGCACUCAAGGUGUACCAGGACAAAGAGUGGAAAUGUUCACCAUCUACCAACACAUCCCGAGACUACUCACUAUUACAUUCAGCACAGAAUCAAACCAAGCUAGCUAAAGGUUCGUUGAAGAAAUGUUAAGGGGCUAUAAACUUGCCAACAAAUGUGAAAAAAAGAAGAGUGUAUCCUGUUGCACGGAACCCUACAUCAAGGGAGGCUUUUCUCCUUGGUGAGUCAGACGUUACUUACAAAGAACCAUGUAAAUUUCACCACAGAGCGAUCGUUAAUGGGAAUCGCAUUCAUUCCAAAACACAGACAUCCGUACCACCUGUGUUUACCUGAAAGACAUCCCAGGUGGACAAGGGAACUACAUCUGUUUACAGCCCAACAAAUGGGAGGUAGACUGAGAAAGGGUUGAACCAUUUAACGUAACUGUAUACAACUUUUUUUGACAUCAGAGUAUGUAUGAUUGAAGGUGUUUCUUAAACUGGCAGCAUGAUAUAUAAAUGCAUUAUUACAUUGACAUUAUUACAUUGACUGAACUGUGGGCCUACUGAAACCGGGGAAGCAGGUAGCUUAGUGGUUAAGCACGUUGUUCCAGUAACCGAAAGGUCGCUGGUUCUA